rnacentral:ncRNA from 1 species
CUAUCCUUCGCCGGUCGCGGUAAAUCCCGCGGCCGGGUUUGACAGUCCGACGA